UACGAAGGGGGCUAGCGUUGCUCGGAAUCACUGGGCGUAAAGGGUGCGUAGGCGGGUCUUUAAGUCAGGGGUGAAAUCCUGGAGCUCAACUCCAGAACUGCCUUUGAUACUGAGGAUCUUGAGUUCGGGAGAGGUGAGUGGAACUGCGAGUGUAGAGGUGAAAUUCGUAGAUAUUAGGAAGAACACCAGUGGCGAAGGCGGCUCACUGGCCCGGUACUGACGCUGAGGUACGAAAGCGUGGGGAGCA
rnacentral:rRNA from 1 species